rnacentral:rRNA from 1 species
CACGUAGGGCGCGAGCGUUGUCCGGAAUUAUUGGGCGUAAAGAGCUCGUAGGCGGCCUGUUGCGUCCGCUGUGAAAGCCCGGGGCUUAACCCCGGGUCUGCAGUGGAUACGGGCAGGCUAGAGGUAGGUAGGGGAGAAUGGAAUUCCCGGUGUAGCGGUGAAAUGCGCAGAUAUCGGGAGGAACACCGGUGGCGAAGGCGGUUCUCUGGGCCUUACCUGACGCUGAGGCACGAAGACCAGGGGAGCGAACGGG